AUUGAACGCUGGCGGCAGGCCUAACACAUGCAAGUCGAACGGUGACAGGAAGCAGCUUGCUGCUUUGCUGACGAGUGGCGGACGGGUGAGUAAUGUCUGGGAAACUGCCUGAUGGAGGGGGAUAACUACUGGAAACGGUAGCUAAUACCGCAUAACGUCGCAAGACCAAAGAGGGGGACCUUCGGGCCUCUUGCCAUCGGAUGUGCCCAGAUGGGAUUAGCUAGUAGGUGGGGUAACGGCUCACCUAGGCGACGAUCCCUAGCUGGUCUGAGAGGAUGACCAGCCACACUGGAACUGAGACACGGUCCAGACUCCUACGGGAGGCAGCAGUGGGGAAUAUUGCACAAUGGGCGCAAGCCUGAUGCAGCCAUGCCGCGUGUAUGAAGAAGGCCUUCGGGUUGUAAAGUACUUUCAGCGGGGAGGAAGGGAGUAAAGUUAAUACCUUUGCUCAUUGACGUUACCCGCAGAAGAAGCACCGGCUAACUCCGUG
rnacentral:rRNA from 1 species